UGUUCACAUAUGAAAGGCUAACACCUGCAAAGGAACUGCAGUAGAACUUGAAGCACUUUAUUUUUUUUGAAUCGUCAACUCAUUAUCGUCAUCAUCAAUGUUUAUUUUGCAGACAUCAUUUUUCAAUUUGAAUCACUGUCAUCCUGAUCAGUAUUAAUAUUUCCUUUAAAUCAUAACACAAUUGGUUUCUUGAAAUUUACACAUACAAGUAGCAUAUUUUUAAUGACCAUGUUUUUUUUUAUAUUUCAUAUUUACUUUUUAAACUAGAUCAAAUUAAAUUACAGUCAGAAUUAAGUAUUAAAUGAACAUGUACAUACAGUUAUUCAAUACAUACAUAAAGAAAAUAAAUAUAGUUAUCAUAAAAAUUAAAAAAUUAAAAUGAAAAUACACACAUUUUACAAAUUGUUCCCCAAGCUCAUCCUUGUAUCUUAAUUUAUACAUAUAUGUUUUUGUUUGUAUUUUAAAUUCACAUUGUCUUCUCCACCAAAAUGUUAAUUCCAUUGUCAUCUUGGUUGUUUGACAUGCAUCUCAACACAGAAGCUAAACAUUGUCCUUCACCCGAGUCGGUUCUGUCUCUCUGUUCCCUGUUGGCCACCUGUUUUCUGUUAUGGCUUGCGUGGGUUAAGUUACUCUGUGAAUUAGGACAUCUCUGCUCUCUCUCUUUUUUUUCAGAUCACACGGUCUGUUUUAUCUCUCCCUCAGUCCUUCUCUCUCUUCCUGUCCGCACGACAUUCCAAUUUUUCAUCCCGCUGUAAACAAAUGGAUCUCCCUGCCCAGCCAUGUGACCAGACCCUUCCAAUAUGGCCGCCAAGCUCACUCGACAUGCUUACUGAACACAUUUUUUUUUUUUUCAAAAAACAGAAACCUCAAUCUUAGCUGCAUACACCAGUUUGUUAUAGUUAUCAACUGAAAUCCCCAAAGAUUUAACCGCACUGUUUUUUCCAGCAUCUGAAUCAUUGGCCAGGGCUAUGCGCUGGAGAACCAUCACAACCCAACCUGUUCUCCCUUGCUAUGCAUAAUCAGAUUGCUCAUACUGUUACAUAUGUUGAGUUAGUCAUCGAGGAGGAUAAAUAAAACACAUCAGAGAAGAAGCGCUCCGGCCUAUCUUUCUCCCCCUCCCCACCCUUGCAACUGUCAAAGGCCAGGUUGCUGUUCUCUUUCAGCGGAUUCUCCCUCUAACGGAGUCCAAACUCGACCCCCACAAACGGCACCAGAGUGUCCACGGAGCAUGCUUUGCUCUCCCUCGCCUAUCUGCGGUGGGGACGAACGAGGAGAGUAGUCAACCGCUUUCCGCCAACCUGCGCUCUGCCAUCUCAAGCUCGAGCCACAAUGGGCGCCAGUAUAGGUGGGGUGGGGUGGGGUGGGGACACACUCUUAUUGCAGUACUCAGAUGGAGUUUAAAAUUGAGAAUCGUAAACCAACAGAAAUAUGGCAGCACCAUAGAAACGAAAAAGAAGAGAGAGAAGAGAAAAAAAAAAAGAUUGAGUCACAAUGGACGCCACUCGAGGUCAUCCUCAGCACAAACACAGAUUGUGACAAAAGGACAACAGAGAGAAAGAUAAAACAGUCGUUUUUUUUUUGCCCCCUUCCUUCCUACCAUUCCAAGUCCAGUCGCACUCUCUGUCUCUUGUUCUUUCCAUGUAUAUAUUUUUUCAUACAUUCUUCAUGUCUUCUGUAUCCUUUAUUUUCUCUGAUGUUUUUUUUUCACAUCUUCCCCAUCGCUCCAACUCUCUCUCUCGUCCUGCUCUGGUCCUGUUAUUGCAGAAUGGUCAGACCGAUAGAUUUUAUAUUUAUAAAUAGACUCAUAGCUUCUCUGCUUUUUGUUGAUAUUUUUUUUGUGACUUCCAUGAAUGAAUGUAAGCAGACUCCUGUGGUGACCAUGGCAACGGCGACACCUGUGGACAAACAGUGGAAUCAUCGUUAAGUGAAUGCUCUUCUCCACUGGGUGCUGUGACCUGAAUUUAACUUACGCACACACACACAUAUCCCACCUCAACAUAUACACAGACGUCCUCCAUGAGCAUGCCAAGUUUCAACCAUCCAUACCACAGCCCACAACAACCUCAGGCUCCAAAAAAAAAUAAUAAAAAAAACCCAAUCCCUGAACUGCCAGGGGGGUAUUCGUCGUAGCUCGCUAAGCGGUUUAGCGAGCUAAUUUUCAGGCUAAGUUAAAAAACGCCCCUCUUUUUGGUUCGUAGAAGCAACUUUUGAUAAAUCACCAUAGUUACAUAUCGAUUAGCACUAACCUGCUCCAGGGCAGGCUAACUUAAGUGUAGCUGGAUAAGCUUGCCACACCCCCGGAAAAAGGAGGGAUCCCAUUGACCAAGGACUGAUAUUAGAGUUAGAGUUAGAUUAGCGGAGGGAGAGAGUUCUUUGCGAUCGCCAAGAUCCAUUAUUCUUGUAUGAGCGCUACCGAUUCAGCCGACAAGGAAUCAUUAAUUUACAAGACCUUCUCGAGUCAUUUAUUGCAAACACCACAGUCGAACAUUGACUUUCUUGCGCUUUUUUGCGAGUGGUACAUUUUUGUAGUGUCGGUGAUGCGGAGAACAAAGCACUCAUAAUUAUAUGAGUGUUAUUAGUACACCAUAGCAUAUCAUUAUUGUAGAAAAUGAUUAGGGUGGACUCAUGAUAAGAAUAGAGAGAAAUACAGACAAUUUAUUUUCACUGCUUCAAUUUAUUGCAUUUGUUAUUAAUACAUUUAGUCAUUUAACAGACGCUUUUAUUCAAAGCGACUUCCAAGGAAAUGUAAAACUACAUCGAGGAAGGAGGUGAGGAGAUUUGAACUAGCAACCAUGCAGAUUCAAACCGGUAGAGGAAACCUCUGUACCAGUGGACACUUGCCGUCAGGUAUUCAUACAUAGAUAUCACCGUAUAAACAUCCCAACACACCUUGCUCUCACAGCGGUGGUGAUGUUGAAUUUUGCCAUGAUUAUGGUCUUGUAUUCUUCAUAAGCGUUCAUGUUCAUCUCCUACUCGCCAGCGGAGAAAAAAAGAGCCC
ensembl:lncRNA